rnacentral:rRNA from 1 species
GGCUUAGAGUUUGAUCAUGGCUCAGGAUGAACGCUGGCGGCGUGCCUAACACAUGCAAGUCGAACGGAGAUUAACGCUGAAUUGAUAAUUAGCUUGCUAAGAGGAUUUUCUUGUUAAUCUUAGUGGCGGACGGGUGAGUAACACGUGAGCAACCUGCCUUUCAGAGGGGGAUAACGGCUGGAAACGGUCGCUAAUACCGCAUGAUAUAUUCGGAUGGCAUCGUCUGAAUAUCAAAGGAGCAAUCCGCUGAAAGAUGGGCUCGCGUCUGAUUAGAUAGUUGGUGAGGUAACGGCUCACCAAGUCGACGAUCAGUAGCCGGACUGAGAGGUUGAACGGCCACAUUGGGACUGAGAUACGGCCCAGACUCCUACGGGAGGCAGCAGUGGGGAAUAUUGCACAAUGGGGGAAACCCUGAUGCAGCAACGCCGCGUGAAGGAAGACGGUUUUCGGAUUGUAAACUUCUUUUCUUAGUGAAGAAGAAAGUGACGGUAGCUAAGGAAUAAGCAUCGGCUAACUACGUGCCAGCAGCCGCGGUAAUACGUAGGAUGCAAGCGUUAUCCGGAUUUACUGGGUGUAAAGGGAGCGCAGGCGGGACUGCAAGUUGGAUGUGAAAUGCCGGGGCUCAACCCCGGAGCUGCAUCCAAAACUGUAGUUCUUGAGUGGAGUAGAGGCAAGCGGAAUUCCGAGUGUAGCGGUGAAAUGCGUAGAUAUUCGGAGGAACACCAGUGGCGAAAGCGGGCCUGCUGGACAUUAACUGACGCUGAGGCGCGAAAGCGUGGGGAGCAAACAGGAUUAGAUACCCUGGUAGUCCACGCCGUAACGAUGGAUACUAGUGUGGGGGGGUAUUGACCCCUUCCGUGCCGCAGUUACACAU